rnacentral:lncRNA from 1 species
GGAGAAGGGGGAGCAGGGGGGGAAAAAGGGGAAAAAGAGAGGGAAAAAGGAGAAAGGGAGGAAAAAAGGAAAAGGAGAGGGGAAAAAGGGGAAUGGGAGGGAGAAAAAAAAGAGAAAAAGGGAAAAAACGGGGGAAGGAGGUUAAAAAAAGGAGAAAGGGGAGGAAAAAAGGGAAAAGAGGAGGGAAAAAAAGGGAAAAAAAAAGGAGAAAAAAAAGGAAAAGGGAGGAAAAAAAAAGGAAAGGGAGGAAAAAAAAAGGAAAAGGGAGGAAAAAAAAAAAAAGGGGGUAAGAAGAAGGGGGAAAGGGGGGAAAAAGAGGGGGGGGGGGGGGCGGAGGGGGGGGGAGCGGGCGAGCCCGGGCACGCAGCCGCCGGAGCGGGGCCGCAGCGGCCGGGCGGGACUCACCGGGGCCGGGGAAAAACAAGCGGGCAGCGCUGGAAGCCUGCCCCCGAGCUCCAGCUGCGGCAGCCGGGGAGGGAGGAGGGCGAGCGGGAAGGAGGGAGGGAGCGAGGAGGAGGAGAGGGGAAGGCAGGGAAGGGAAGGGAAAAAAGGAGGAGGGGGGGGGCAGCGAGGCCGCCGAGCUCCGGGCGCCUUCCCCCCCUUGCGCCGAGCCCCAGCGCGGUGCCCCCCGACGGCGGAGCCGCUGCGGCCGGGGCCCGGCGGGGAGCGAGCGGCGGCCGCUUCCUGCCCGCGGGGGCCCCGGCGGAGAGCCCCGGCUCCAUUUUCUUUCCCUUAUGGUGCCCCCCCCCCCCCGCCCCUUCCCCCCCUCCCCCCCCCCCCCCCCCCCCCCCCCCCCCGCGCAGAGCCUCGCCGCCCCCUCGGUUCGGGCUGGGGGGAGAGGGAAAGGGGGAAAAAAAGGGAAAGGGGGUCCCCGCUGCAAAAAGGGGGCCGGGGGGAGGAAGGGAGAGAGGGUGUGGAGGGGGGGGGGCCCCGGAGCCGCCAUGCGAGGAGCGAGGUCCCCGGAGGAGAAAAGGAGGCCCCCGGAGGAGAGCUGAGCCGAGGCGCCGCACACGGAAUAAAGCCCCCGAAUGGUAA